ACGAUAGGAACUCCAAUGCGGUCUUUUAAAUAGUAAAGAUAUUCAAACAUAUGCACACAAACAGAAACAUAAUAUUCCAAGGCUUAAAUAGAUUGUGCUAUCAAUCUGCCUCCAAAAAUUUUUGGAAGCACACAAGUGUGAAGAUGCUUUCCUUUGCAGGGUAUCAUUCAACUGAAUUGUGAUGCCAAUACGUCAAGAUUAUGAACCAGAUUCUUGGGUGGUUUUCUUUACAAUUUUGUUGAGAUAGUCUACUCUGUGCAUUAUGUUAUUUUUAUGUUACUAAUUUUAAAUUUUAUGAAGCUUCCUCCCAUAUAUUUUCCCCAUGUAGCCAUCUAAAAAGCACAUAUACAACAGAGUGACCAAUUUUUUGUCAUUUAUGUCUCUUGCUUUACCAAUUUGCUUACAAAUUUAUGGUUCACUGACUUUCACAGUUUGAAAAUUAAUGCUAAAUCAAUACUUUGUAUAAAUUUAUUAUAAUUUUACUGUAAAUUAUUUUGCAAUAGAUUGUGUGACCAAUGUGGUGUAAAACUCUAUUGUAUAUAAAUGAAAACAUUAAGCAAGUUGAAGACAUAAAAUCAGCUAGCACCCUAAUACAGCAGCUUGUGAGUGAGAAACUAUAUAGCAUUUUUAUGUAGCAUAUGGGAAAAUUGUGCAGUGUGGGGGGGGUGAGUAUUAAUUCUACAGUUGUACAGUUGUAAAUCUAAUAUGACAGUCUCUAUCUACAAUCCAGCCAGAUUGAACGUGCUAAGUUUUCAUUGCUAUUCUGAAUGCUGAAUUAUCUAAUAAGAUGGUGGUAUUCAAGAAAGCCCAUCUUCAUAAAGCAAGUUUAGACCCGUUAGCAUCUAUAUAUGGAAAUCGUCUUAACUACUGGGUAUUCCAAAAUGUAGUUUUCUUUCCAAUUCAGGAGUCCUUCCAAAACUGCUCUACUGUUUUGAACAAUCUGUCAUCUUUCAAGUGGAAGAAAAUAUCUAUCAAUAUAACGUAAAGAAAAAAAAUUUUAAUUCUAAUCAUGCCAUUUUCAGGGCUAAUUUUUAUUUUUUACCUACCUGCUUUUGACAAAUAAUAAACAGGAACCUGUGCAAUUCACAUAAGGAAAAACCUACAUAAUAGACACAGUUUUUUAUUUUUAGUUUCUUUUUAUGGCCGCUCCUGUGGCAUAUGGAAGUUCCCAGGCUAGGGGUCGAAUCAGAACUGCAGGUGCCAGACCACUCCAUAGCCACAGUAAUGCCACAGCUUGCAGCAACACCAGAUCUUUACCCACCGAGCAAGGCCAGGGAUCGAACCCGCAUAUUCAUGGAUGCUAGUUAGGUUUUUAACCUGCUGAGCCACAGUGGGAACUCCUAGCCACAGUAUUUUUAAAAGGCUCAAUAAAUUUUCACUAGAUGAAUACAUCCAUGUAAUCCUCAAUCAGAUCAAGAAACACAAUGUUACUGAACCCCCCAGACCCACCACAGACUUACUUCUAGUCACUAGCCACCACACCCUCCAAGGUAACUACUUUUCUAACUGCUAACUGAUAGAUUAGUUUUUCCUGUUUUUAUACGUUAUGUAAAUGGGAUAAUACGUUACUGACAGGGACAGAGUAGCAUAAUUAAAUAGUCAGUUUAGAAAUCCCACGAGGGGACUAAAGACAGGGAACUUUAAGGGAGUUUGGGAGACUCUGAUAAGACAAUGACCACUCCAGAAAAGAAUCUAGUAACCUAACAACAACCUACACUACCGUGAAGGAAGACCAGCUGCAUCUAAACACCAGACACACUCAAACCACAAACCCCAUUAGUUAAAACACAAGACCAUAAAUACGGGGUCUGAAUCUUGUUACAUGAAGUCAGGGAGUUAAUAGUCCUUGAAGAGUAGCAUUUCUACCUGUAGGCAAGACAGAAAUAUCAGUAAAAGAGGAAAAAACUAGGUAAAGGAUGGCAUUGUGUGGAAACCUGAGAUAAAUUACCAUAUCUUACGAUAUGUGACCACCCUUUUGCCAAUGUUAUACAUAUGAUUUAAAUAGCACCAUGACAGUCCUGGUUAAACCACAGGGUCGGAGUUCCUGUUGUGGCUCAGCAGAAAUGGAUCCGACUAGGAACCAUGAGGUUACAGGUUCGAUCCCUGGCCUCACUCAGUGGAUUAAGGAUCCAGCGUUGCAGUGGGCUGUGAUGUAGGUCACAGACAUGGCUGGGAUCUGGUGUUGCUGUGGCUCUGGUGUAGACCAUCAGCUGUAGCUCUGAUUAGACCCCUAGCCUGGGAACCUCCAUAUGCUGUGAGUGCAGCCCUAAAAAGCAAAGACAACAACAACAACAACAAACUAUAUAGGGUCAAAGGAGGAACUAAUGAUGGAAGCCUUGACAUUGACCCAAAAAAUGGGGAAGAAAAUGGUCUUAUCCCCUCCCCACUUUUUCUUCGAUUAUAAAAAUGUAGUCCUCAGUGUUCUCGGAGCUGCUGCUGCUGCUGCUGCUGCUGCUGCUGCACUCCCUUGACACCCUCACAAACAGGUUAAUAAACUCACUCUUUGCCCGCCACUUUGCCUCAUGAAUUCUUUCUGUAAUGAGACAAAAGAACCUGAGCUUAAGUAAGUCCUAACAUCAGGUGAGCAGUUUCAAUUAAAAGACAGGGAGUUCAAAUCCCUUCCUAAGUCAGGGAUCAUGGGUUCAAGCCCCAAUCUGAGUCUUGACAGGGUUUGAGCCCCACCUGAGAAGGAGCAAGGUUUCAUUAGUGUUUUUGUGAAUGGCUUCUUCCACCCAAUUUAGAUUUGUGAAAUGUAGUCAUGCUGUCACACACAGUUUGCACCUACUCAUUGUUACAUACUCUCUCAUUUUUUAAAUAUACCAAAAUUUAUUUCUCCAUUCUAUUGUCAGUGGGCAUUUGGUUAGUUUCUAGAUUUUGGCUAUUACAAAUAAUGCUGCUACGAAUAUUCCAGAGCACAUCUUUUAGUGAAUGUAAGUAUACAUUUUUGUUGAGUAUAUAUCAAGGUACUAUUUUAAUUUUACACAGGUAUGGUUAAAACACCUAGUCUUUAUGUAAUAUGUACUCAGUAUCAUGGACGACAACACCUUCUUUUCCAGUCAUGAUGUUCGGAAGGCAGUCUAUAGUCUUUCAGAGCCAAGAAAGAUAUUACAUUUCAAAACACUCCGGUAAGACAUUGGGAGCAUAUUUAGAUUUUUAUAGAUUUAAGACCUUCACUCAGAAGUGCAAAAAAUUAAUUUUCUUUUUAUACCACUACACCUAACUCCUAUUUUGAGCUCCCAUUCUCCUAUCUGAGCUCCCAAUGGCAGGAACUUAAUCUUAGUAAAUGCAGAAUGUCCCUUGCCUGCCUUUUCCUGAGCUGCAUCUAAAUUCUGGAGGCAGACAUGAUUUGGGGGCCUCUGGUUGCCAUCUACCCAAGCUGACGUGUUCAUUCCUACCUGGUCCUGCUAGAUACUGGGAUGACUUUCUGCUUCUGACAUCUUUGAGUCUGCUGGCCCCUUUGCUGAGGUGGGCUCUCUCUUAGGUCGUCGGCCUCACAUUUCAUGUUCACACUCAUGAAUAAUGUUCCUUUGUUCCUCCAUCCUGUUUGGCUCCUAAACACUCUACUAGUCCAGAAUGGAGUAGGCAUCCUGGCUCUUCAUCUCUUCUUCCGAAUCCACUGUUCAUGGCAUAAACUCUACACUUCGAAUCUUUUAAGCCUUGAAUUUUGAAACUUAAAAAUUUGGACUCUUAUAACUCAAAAGCUUUUCACUUGCAUCAUCCUUUGCUCAAGGCACUGAAUGCUGAUGACUGCAGGGGAAUGGGGAAGUAGGUAGUAAGGAGUAUUAUUGUUCCACCACUUAAAUAUAUGUUUGAUCCUGUUGCUCCUUUGAACUCCUUUCAUAACUUAAUUAAAAAAAAAAAAUACCAGGAGUUCUCUCAUGGAGGAUGAACUAAAGUUGAUUAAUAGUGUUCAACAAUACGUAGUUAUGCACGCACACACACCCCUCACACACACACUUUACACAGCUGACAAUCCCAAGUGCUACAGUACUUGAGCAAAUAUUUGCAAUAAAAAUGAAUUUAGAGAGUUCGUGGCUCAGGGGAAAUGAGUCUGACUAGUAACCAUGAGGAUGCAGGUUGGAUCCCUGGCCUCACUCAUGGGUUAAAAGUGUUGCCACAGCUGCAGCAUAGGCUGCAGCUGCAGCUCAGAUUGGAUCUCUGGCCCAAUAACUUCAAAUGCUAUAGUGUGGCCAUAAAAAUUAAAAAAUAAAUAAAUAAAGGAGUAAAUCUUUGUACUCUUGGGUUAGGGAAAGUUUUCCUAGAUAUGAUACCAAAAGAGCAGUGACAAAGGAAAAAAAUAAAUUGGACUUUAUCAAAAUUAAGGAGUUAUCUGGUGGCCUAGUGGUUAGGACUCAGUACUUUUACCAUUGUGGCCUGGGUUCAACCCCUGGUCUGGAACCAAGAUCCCACAUUAAGCCACUGCAUGCUGCAACUAAAACAAACAAACCUAAAACAGUGGUUCUCAA
rnacentral:lncRNA from 1 species